ACGCCCUCUCCCCUCCCGCCCAGGUUGGAAUAGAAAUCCCUGCCUGAGAUGACGUAUCUCCCUGAUCUUUCCUCUCCUGGAGGAAUAUUUAAUUUACACGCAUUCACACCUGGACCAGAAGGAUGACGGGAGUAGCCUCAGCACUUAAAAAUGAUCCGAGAGCACGGAAUAAAAAGAAAAAAAAACACCAUGAAGAGAAAUUGAACUCUUGCAUCGUUGUAGAAGUGUGUAACUGGAACUGCCACACCAAAUAAUAGGUCCAUGACUAGACUUCAGCAUUUGUGACAUGUCUUUGAAGCUUCCUGCUCCCCUGGAUGGAAGAAAGCUGAUUUAUAAAAGCAGACAUUUUGCCCCAGAAGCUGAUUUCAUCCCAAGAUGGGCUUUGGCUCCCGAUGCUGCUGCUAAAGUUUGGAAACCAGAACGUCCUUCAGCAUGGCUCAGGAAGUAAGCAGAGAAACUGCUGGCUUGUGUCUCGUGGGUCUUGCUUGCUUAAUUUUCCAUCACAACAAGCUCUUCAGUGGCUGUCCUGGGAGAUGAGCAGUGGAGACGAGGUGCGUUCUUGAACAUGGGCUGAGAACCUGGGGGCAAUAAAAGCCAAGUUUUGCUCUAA